rnacentral:rRNA from 1 species
AUUACUGGGCGUAAAGCGCGCGUAGGUGGCUUGAUAAGCCGGUUGUGAAAGCCCCGGGCUCAACCUGGGAACGGCAUCCGGAACUGUCAAGCUAGAGUGCAGGAGAGGAAGGUAGAAUUCCCGGUGUAGCGGUGAAAUGCGUAGAGAUCGGGAGGAAUACCAGUGGCGAAGGCGGCCUUCUGGACUGACACUGACACUGAGGUGCGAAAGCGUGGGUAGCAAACAGGAUUAGAUACCCUGGUAGUCCACGCCGUAAACGAUGUCGACCAGCCGUUGGGUGCCUAGCGCACUUUGUGGCGAAGUUAACGCGAUAAGUCGACCGCCUGGGGAGUACGGCCGCAAGGUUAAAACUCAAAUGAAUUGACGG